rnacentral:rRNA from 1 species
UAUUGGUUAAUGUGCGAAAGCGCGAACCAGCAACGCCGCGUGCACGAUGAAGGCCUUCGGGUUGUAAAGUGCUUUUUGAGGGGAUGAGGAAGGACAGUACCCUCAGAAUAAGUCUCGGCCAACUACGUGCCAGCAGCCGCGGUAACACGUAGGAGACGAGCGUUAUCCGGAUUUACUGGGCGUAAAGCGCGUGCAGGCGGUUCAGCAAGUUGGAUGUGAAAGCUCCCGGCUUAACUGGGAGAGGUCGUUCAAAACUACUGAACUUGAGAGUGGUAGAGGGAGGUGGAAUUCCGGGUGUAGUGGUGAAAUGCGUAGAUAUCCGGAGGAACACCAGUGGCGAAAGCGGCCUCCUGGACCAUUUCUGACGCUCAGACGCGAAAGCUAGGGUAGCGAACGGGA